GGGAACCUGCCCUUAGGUUCGGAAUAACUCAGAGAAAUUUGAGCUAAUACCGGAUAAUGUCUUCGGACCAAAGAUUUAUCGCCUUUGGAUGGGCCCGCGUAGGAUUAGCUUGUUGGUGGGGUAAUGGCCUACCAAGGCGACGAUCCUUAGCUGGUCUGAGAGGAUGAUCAGCCACACUGGGACUGAGACACGGCCCAGACUCCUACGGGAGGCAGCAGUGGAGAAUAUUGGACAAUGGGUGAAAGCCUGAUCCAGCAAUGCCGCGUGAGUGAUGAAGGCCUUAGGGUUGUAAAGCUCUUUUACCAGGGAUGAUAAUGUCAGUACCUGGAGAAUAAGCUCCGGCUAACUCCGUGCCAGCAGCCGCGGUAAUACGGAGGGAGCUAGCGUUGUUCGGAAUUACUGGGCGUAAAGCGCACGUAGGCGGCGAUUCAAGUCAGAGGUGAAAGCCCGGGGCUCAACCCCGGAACUGCCUUUGAAACUAGAUUGCUAGAAUCCUGGAGAGGUUAGUGGAAUUCCGAGU
rnacentral:rRNA from 1 species